UACGUAGGGUGCGAGCGUUGUCCGGAAUUAUUGGGCGUAAAGAGCUUGUAGGCGGUCUGUUGCGUCAGGAGUGAAAACUCGGGGCUUAACCCCGAGCCUGCUUCUGAUACGGGCAGACUAGAGGUAUGCAGGGGAGAACGGAAUUCCUGGUGUAGCGGUGAAAUGCGCAGAUAUCAGGAGGAACACCGGUGGCGAAGGCGGUUCUCUGGGCAUUACCUGACGCUGAGGAGCGAAAGUGUGGGGAGCGAACAGG
rnacentral:rRNA from 1 species